AUGAGAGGAAAUGGUAUGGACCUUUUAUGGAGAAUCUUAGCGGCUCUGAGCUUCGAUUGUUUUAAGGAUUCGGCGUCUUCACAGAGGUCUCCAGGCAAGCUGAGCUCCAGCCAGGCAGGUAGUCUGGAAAGCAGCUCCCUGACUGGCUCUCUCUCCUUGGGGCCAGACCUGCCUCACUGCCAGUGCUGCAUCUCCUACGAAGCCCGUCUGAAACGCCUGUCCUGUGGCCACCUCUACUGUGACCCCUGCACAGACCAGAUCGUCAACCUGGCCUUCGAGGACAUCGAGGGCCUCUCUGAUUACCCCUGCCCCAUGUGCAAGUCCCUCCGCCAGCUAGGGGACCUGGGCCCCCCCUCUUAUGGGUACCUGGGUACCCCCUCCUUUGGGCCAUGUGGGACCCUGCAGCAGCAGGUGGCUAAAGAGCAUGGGAGCAGCUGGGGGUAAAACUGAGGCAGUUUAUACUGUACAUCAAGGGGUGUGGUUAAAAAACAAAUGCAUGUUGUCCCCUCUCCAGAUGAAAUACUGUAGGAACCAUUUAGACUUUUCAGUUAUGUCUUUAGUGUUUUGAUUUGAAUAUUUUAAUGCACUGCCUUACACUGAGAUUGUGAUCUGGUAAUGUGUGAUGGAUAGUGGCUCAGUGUUUCUUCCUUGUGUAAUAUGGUGGUGGAAGUGAAACUAAUGGAAGUGCAUAACAUUACAGAUAAUGUCCAUUGGUGUGCCAUGACAUACUGUAAAUUGAUAUUACAGGGUGAUUAAGCCAGAGCUAAGUAUUAGAUGUUUGUGUCAGACAGUUCUUUACAUUUAUGUGUAAUGAUUAUUAUUAGUAGACAUUUGGACCUUACUUUAAAAAUAUUAUAUUUUGAGUAUACUUACUGCUUAUGCAUUUUAAUUUAAUUUAAUUGUACAGUGCCAUGCUACUUUUAAAGUGUUCAAUAUCAUAUUGUAAAUAUAUAUUUUGCUAAAAAAAUAAAGUUUGUGAAUUGUAUUACUCUGUUUGAAGACUUGAAUGAUUGCAGAACAUCAUCAUCUGGUAAUCUGGGGUCCAUGGCAUGCCCUCCAUUGUGAUCUCUGGCCUGACUCUUCUGCAGACUGGAAUAUGUUCCGGGAUUAAUCCGAUGGCAUUGAGAAGUAUACUACCACAUCCGUCACCGCCUUCAUUAACUGCAUCGAUGACGUCGUUCCCCAAAGUGACCGUACAUACAUAUCCCAACCAGAAGCCAUGGAUUACAGUCAAUAUCCACACUGAGCUAAAGGAUAGAGCUGCUGCUUUCAAGGAGCGGGAGACUAAUCCGGGCACUUAUAAGAAAUCCCGCUACACCCUCCAAUGAACCAUCAAACAGGGAAAGCGUUAAUACAGGACUAAGAUCGAAUCCUACUACACCAGCUCUGACGCUCGUCGGUUGUGGCAGGGCUUGCAAACUACUACGGAUUACAAAGGGAAGUCCAUCCACGACCUGCCCUGUGAUGUGAGCAUACCAGACGAGCUAAAUGCCUUCUAUGCUCGCUUCGAGGCAAGCAACACUGAACCUUGCAUUAGUGCACCAGCUGUUCCGGAUGACUGUGUGAUUCAUAGAUGAUGUGAGUAAGUCCCCUUUUAAACAGGUUAUCAUUCAGAUUAUCAGGACACAUACUCAGAGCAUGCGCUGACCAGCUGGCAAGUGUCUUCACUGACAUUUUCAAUCUCUCCCUGACUCGGUCUGUAAUACAUGUUUCAAGCAGACCACCAUAGUCCCUGUGCGCAGGAAUGCAAAGGUAACCUGCCUAAAUCAAAUCAAUACUGACUGCUACCCUGUGGCACUCACAUCUGUAGCCAUGAAAUGUUUUGAAAGGCUGGUCAUGGCUAACAUCAUCAUCCCAGAAACCCUGGACCGGCUCCGGUUUACAUACUGCCCAACAGAUCCACAUAUGAUGCAAUCUCUAUUGCACUCCACACUGCCCUCGACAAAAGGAUCACCUACGUGAGAAUGCUGUUCAUUGACUACUCAGCGUUCAACACCAUAGUGCCCUCCAAGCUCAUCACUAAGCUAAGGAUCCUUGGACUGAACAUGUCCCUCUGCAACUGGAUCCUGGACCUCCUGACAGGCCUCCUCCAGGUGGUGAGUGUAGGCAACAACACAUCCACCACGCUGACCCUCAACACGGAGGCCCCUCCAGUGCGCGCUUAGUCCCCUCCUGUACUCCCUGUUCACCCAUGACUGCGUGGCCAUGCAUGACUCAAACACCAUCAUUAAGUUUGCAGACACAACGGUGUUAUGCCUGAUCACCGACAACGAUGAGACAGUCUAUAGGGAGAAGGUAAGAGAUGGUAUGUUACAUUACGGUUGUCCAUCGUAUCCGAUGAUGACUUCUAAGUUAACAGUGAAUUCUUUGGUGACUGUAGAAACCAAUCCGAGAUCCACAAACUUUAUUGCAGGUGGGGCAUAUGCAGUCUGUGUUGGCGGGGCAUGGUUGUAUGUCUCCUGAGAUAUUUUUGCAGUUUUGUUGUGCUCCCCUCCUCCCAACUAUGUACACCGCUAUGGCAGAGCUGCCGCCAGGUGGAACGGUCAGCAGCAGCAUCCUCCAGGUCUGUGGGUUUGAUGCUGCACUACUUCAGCAACGUUUUCAGCAUAUCGCCGGACAAGAUGUAGCUGGCCAUACAGGAUCUUCCGCGUCAAGCACUUCUGAGACAUUCUAAUGACAUGCUCAAGCCAGCGCAGUUGGUGUUGUGUGAUCAUGGCAUCCAUACUCUUGCAGUUGGUCUAUGCAAAUAUUUCUGUAUGGGGCACACGGUCGCACCAGGUGAUUCCCAGGAUGCGCUUCAGGCAUCUUAUGUGACCCAUGCUUCACAGCUGUGAAGAAGUGUGGUGAUACAGACUGCUUGAUAGACAGCAACUUUGGUUUGGAUGUGGAGAUCCCUGUUUUGGAAGACCCUUAGUCUGAGUUUCCCGAAGGCAGUUGAUGCUUGCUUGAUCCUAUAUUUAAUUUAGAGGUCGAUGCUGCAGUCCUCAGAGAGGAUGAUGCCCAGGUAUUUGAAGGAUGUGACUGUUGCCAGUGAUUUGUGUUCAAUGGUGAAGACAGGCAUGUUGGGUGGAGGGCAGGAUCUCCAUUGGUAGACCACCUCUGUCUUGGUGGUGUUGAUAGACGGUCCCAUCCUGCUAUAGACCCUCACAGCCGCUACAAGGACGGACUGAAGGUCUUCCAGAGUGUGGCCAUGAGCACAGUCAUCAGCAUACUGCAGCUCAAGAACCCGUGUCGUCAAAACCUUGGUGGCUGCUUGGAGCCUCCUGAUGUUGAAUAGGUUUCCAUCCAGCCUGAAGUCCACUGCAAACCUGCUGCUGUCCUCAAACUUAUUAUGUAGAUGCUGGGUGACACAUAGAAGGAAGAUGUUGGUGGUGCAGGUGCCAGCACACGCCCCUGCCUCCCAGCGAUGAUUACUCCAAAUGGCACUGACUCCUGCCUUCCUAUGGCCACCCAAGCCAUCAUCCCAUCAUGGAACUGGCAAAGGAUGUUCACAAAUUUGUCUGGACAGCCAAAUUUGAGUAGAAUGCCCCAUAGUAGUUCCCUGUUUUGUGUCGAAGGCCUUGGAGAGGUUGACAAAGGCCAUGAAAAGGUCCUGAUGUUGUU
rnacentral:lncRNA from 13 species